GAUGAACGCUGGCGGCGUGCCUAAUACAUGCAAGUCGAGCGAACAGACGAGGAGCUUGCUCCUCUGACGUUAGCGGCGGACGGGUGAGUAACACGUGGAUCACCUACCUAUCAGACUGGGAUCACUUCGGGAAACCGGAGCUAAUACCGGAUAAUAUAUUGAACCGCAUGGUUCAAUAGUGAAAGACGGUUUUGCUGUCACUUAUAGAUGGAUCCGCGCCGCAUUAGCUAGUUGGUAAGGUAACGGCUUACCAAGGCGACGAUGCGUAGCCGACCUGAGAGGGUGAUCGGCCACACUGGAACUGAGACACGGUCCAGACUCCUACGGGAGGCAGCAGUAGGGAAUCUUCCGCAAUGGGCGAAAGCCUGACGGAGCAACGCCGCGUGAGUGAUGAAGGUCUUCGGAUCGUAAAACUCUGUUAUUAGGGAAGAACAAAUGUGUAAGUAACUAUGCACGUCUUGACGGUACCUAAUCAGAAAGCCACGGCUAACUACGUG
rnacentral:rRNA from 1 species